AUUGGCUAUGAUGAUUGAUUUGCCCUCUCUGAGAUCUGAUGAGAGAACCAUUCAAAUAUACGCAAAUCUGAGCCAGU